UACGUAGGGGGCGAGCGUUGUCCGGAUUUAUUGGGCGUAAAGAGCGUGUAGGCGGCCAGGUAGGUCUGCUGUGAAAACUCGAGGCUCAACCUCGAGACGUCGGCGGAAACCAUCUGGCUAGAGUCCGGAAGAGGAGAGUGGAAUUCCUGGUGUAGCGGUGAAAUGCGCAGAUAUCAGGAAGAACACCCGUGGCGAAGGCGGCGUUCUGGACUGCAACUGACACUGAGGAACGAAAGCCAGGGGAGCAAACGGG
rnacentral:rRNA from 1 species